ACUAAAUAGAUACCCAGGUAGUCCACGCCGUAAACGUUGGGCGCUAGGUGUGGGGCUCUUUCCACGAGUUCCGUGCCGCAGCAAAAACGCAUUAAGCGCCCCGCCUGGGGAGUACGGCCGCAAGGCUAAAACUCAAAGGAAUUGACGGGGGCCCGGCACAAGCGGCGGAGCAUGCGGAUUAAAUUCGAUGCAACGCGAAGAACCUUACCAAGGCUUGACAUACGCAGAAAACCGGCAGAGAUGUCGGGUCCGUAAGGGCUGUGUACAGGUGGUGCAUGGUUGUCGUCAGCUCGUGUCGUGAGAUGUUGGGUUAAGUCCCGCAACGAGCGCAACCCUCGUUCCAUGUUGCCAGCACGUAAUGGUGGGGACUCAUGGGAGACUGCCGGGGUCAACUCGGAGGAAGGUGGGGAUGACGUCAAAUCAUCAUGCCCCUUAUGUCUUGGGCUUCACGCAUGCUACAAUGGCCAGUACAAAGGGCUGCGAGACCGUAAGGUGGAGCGAAUCCCAAAAAGCUGGUCUCAGUUCGGAUCGGGGUCUGCAAC
rnacentral:rRNA from 1 species